AUGACUGAUCAUAUGACUGUAUUUUGCACCCUUAGUUUUAAAAGAUGCAUUACACUCAUUGCAACUAAACUAUUUUUCCCUCGUAUGCCUGAUCAUGUGUUGACACAUAUCACUCUUUCGUUUAAAAGAUGCAUUGCACAAAGUGCAACUAAACGGUCUUUCACUCGUAUGACUAAUCAUAUGACUGUAUUUUGCACCCUUAGUUUUAAAAGAUGCAUUACACUCAUUGCAACUAAACGAUUUUUCCCUCGUAUGCCUGAUCAUGUGUUGACACAUAUCACUCUUUCGUUUAAAAGAUGCAUUGCACAAAGUGCAACUAAACGGUCUUUCACUCGUAUGACUGAUCAUAUGACUGUAUCUUUCACCCUUAGUUUUAAAAGAUGCAUUACACUCACUGCAAGUAAAGGGUUUCAAACUCGUAUGACUCAUCAAAUGACUAACCAAAUCUAUCUUUAUUUUAAAAGAUGCAUUACACUCACUGCAAGUAAACGGUCUUUCACUCGUAUGCCUCAUCAUGUGUUGACACAAAUUACCCUUUUGUUUAAAAGAUGCAUUGCACAUAGUGCAACUGAACGGUCUUUCACUCGUAUGACUGAUCAUAUGACUGUAUUUUGCACCCUUAGUGUUAAAAGAUGCAUUACACUCAUUGCAACUAAACGAUUUUUCCCUCGUAUGCCUGAUCAUGUGUUGACACAUAUCACCCUUUCGUUUAAAAGAUUCAUUGCACAAAGUGCAACUGAACGGUCUAUCACUCGUAUGACUGAUCAUAUGACUGUAUUUUUCACCCUUAGUUUUAAAAGAUGCAUUACACUCACUGCAAGGAAAGGGUUUCAAACUCGUAUGGCUCAUCAUAUGAUAAACCAAACCGUUCUUCCUUUUAAAAGAUGCAUUACACUCACUGCAAGUAAACGGUCUUUCACUCGUAUGCCUGAUCAUGUGUUGACACAAAUUACCCUUUCGUUUAAAAGAUGCAUUGCACAUAGUGCAACUGAACGGUCUUUCACUUGUAUGACUGAUCAUAUGACUGUAUUUUUCACCCUUAGUUUUAAAAGAUGCUUUACACUCACGGCAGGUAAAGAGUUUUAAGCCCGUAUGACUCAUCACAUGAAGAACCAAACCUUUCUUCGUUUUAAAAGAUGCACUGCACUCAUUGCAACUAAACGAUCUUUCACUCGUAUGCCUGAUCAUGUGUUGACCCAGGUCACCGUUUCGUUUAAAAGAUGCAUUGCACAUCGUGCAAUUGAACGGUCUUUCAUCUGUAUGAACGAGUCUAUGUCUCUCUAAAUAACGCUUUGUUUUGAAAGAUAAAUUGCACUCAUUGCAACUAAACGAUUUUUCCCUCGUAUGCCUGACCAUGUGUUUACCCAACUCUUCCUUACUUUUAAAAGAUGCAUUGCACUCAGUACAGAUAAACGGUCUUUUAUCAUCGUGACUGAUCAUAUGGGAUUUAAAUCGUCCUCAUGUUUAAAAGAUUCAUUACAGUUGAUGCAAUUGAAUAAUUUCUCAUUGCUAGAAACAACUACGUUUCGACUAAGAUCGUCAUUACGGGCUGAAGUUCCGCGACCCCCGUUGCUCCGGAAAGACUUUUUACCACUCGGGCCUUUAUCAUGGACCCUUUUGCGGAGGAAGGUUGGGUCUCCACGAGAUCCGGACCGCGUCUCAACAUUCCUCUGCAGCAAAGACGAUCCUGAAUGAGCUGUGUCGUUGUUUUGCGGGUCUCCUCUACUAACGGUGGUAGAAUAUUCAUUGGAAUUUCCUAUGUUUUCAGGAUGAGGUGCUGUUCCGUCCGUCAGCAGUGCCGAACUUCCAGAAUUCUUAUUUGAAUGCAAAAGCGCCUGGCCAGAUUUCGACGGUACGUUCCCUCUCGAGUGAUUCGGGGUACGUCCGUCGAAAAGCGAAAUUCUGCCGUCCUCGCUACAAUAUUUGCACUCGCAAGAUGCAGAAUUGGUAUGAGCUUUCCCAAGUCGACGAUCGGAUCUAGAGAAAAGAUCCACAAUUUUCACGGAGAGCUUCUGUGAUUUUACCAAGUCAGAUUCUGAGAAAGUUUCAGCAAUGCUGCUCGAUUCAGCAGUCAAGUUUGUAGCACGCACUUCUUCGACUUUGAGUACGGUUGGGACGAGACACUCGGUCACGAAACCGACUUUUUCAUCCAGAUCCUCUGCCUCAGAUAUUAGAGGCAUCCGAGACGAUUCAUCCUCUGUCUUAACACUACUGUGCAGUAAAGGCGCUGGCGAUGAGUCCUCAUCUCCGCUGUCAGCUUCCUCUUUGAUCAGGGGAACAAACGGUUCUGCACACUUAGAUUGGGGUGGUAUCGAUUUAGCAUGGUCAAAAGUUGCGAGAAACCCACCUUCACUUUCUUCGGGGUGCAACCCUUCUUCUCCGAUUGAUUCUUCUUUGAUUUGGGAUUUGGGGUGGAAAUUCAUCCGAGGACAUCGUUCGGAACCGUCCAGUUGGGGUGCCAUCAUUCCAGAGGGGAAAUUCAUCUUCAGUUUUUUCGGCUUACUGGAUGGAUGAGCCUUUGCUCAAAUCUUUCAUAGCGAUUUUUUCGGCUCAAAAUUGAGAGUGUCAUCGACGGAAUAUGGUUGUGAACGUCCGCGGCGCAGUGGCAUAUCUGUGAGCAGAGGUACAAGACACGCGAGCAUUACUUAUGCGGUUAAGUAAAAAAUAAAAUUGAAAAGGAAAAAACACUAAAAAAGUUCACUUUGGA
rnacentral:lncRNA from 1 species